rnacentral:rRNA from 1 species
AAUGAACGCUGGCGGCGUGCCUAACACAUGCAAGUCGAACGAGAAAGCCUGGCUUGCCAGGCAAGUAAAGUGGCGCACGGGUGAGUAACGCGUGGGUAAUCUACCUUUGUUUGGGGGAUAACCUACCGAAAGGUGGGCUAAUACCGCAUAACGUGAUCGGGUUGCGACCUGAUCACCAAAGAUGGCCUCUCCAUGGAAGCUAUCGAGUGAAGAUGAGCCCGCGUCCCAUUAGCUAGUUGGUAAGGUAACGGCCUACCAAGGCGACGAUGGGUAGCCGGCCUGAGAGGGUGGUCGGCCACACUGGAACUGAGACACGGUCCAGACUCCUACGGGAGGCUG